UACGUAGGGUGCAAGCGUUGUCCGGAAUUAUUGGGCGUAAAGAGCUCGUAGGCGGUUUGUCGCGUCGGCUGUGAAAACUCGGGGCUCAACCCCGAGCCUGCAGUCGAUACGGGCAGACUAGAGUGCUGUAGGGGAGACUGGAAUUCCUGGUGUAGCGGUGAAAUGCGCAGAUAUCAGGAGGAACACCGGUGGCGAAGGCGGCCUGCUGGGCAGUAGCUGACGCUGAGGCGCGACAGCGUGGGGAGCAAACAGG
rnacentral:rRNA from 1 species